rfam:Alphaproteobacteria bacterium 13_1_20CM_4_65_11 13_1_20cm_4_scaffold_5954, whole genome shotgun sequence.
GCGAUUGCGUUCGGCCCUCUGGCACCCUAUAUCUUGGCUGUCGGGCAACCGACUAUGGCGAUAAACGGCUUGUGGAAUAAGCGUUGCGGACCCGGGGGCGGUACCCGGCGCCUCCACCAAUUCGCCGGCUCCGGAAUACGAUUUGGAGCCGGCCUCUGCGGGGGCGAAAUAGGCUCGACGCGCGUGGUAAAGACAAGAACCGUCGCCCGGUAUGAUACCGCCGUUAUCGGGUCAAAACUUAGCUGCGAACGAUAACUUCGCACAUGAGGCACUUGCGGCCUAACCCUUCACAGGGUGAAGCUAACAGGUAACUCGCGGUCCGAGGGGCACCGGGCAACAGAAGCCCCUCACU